rnacentral:rRNA from 1 species
AUUGAACGCUGGCGGCAGGCCUAACACAUGCAAGUCGAACGAGUGGCGGACGGGUGAGUAAUGACUGUGAAACUGCCUGAUGGAGGGGGAUAACUACUGGAAACGGUAGCUGAUACCGCAUACCAUCGGAUGUGCCCAGAUGGGAUUGGCUAGUAGGUGGGGUAAAGGCUCACCUGGGCGACGAUCCCUAGCUGGUCUGAGAGGAUGACCAGACACACUGGAACGGAGACACGGUCCAGACUCCUACGGGAGGCAGCAGUGGGUAAUAUUGCACAAGGGGCGAAAGCCUGAUGCAGCCAUGCCGCGUGUAUGAAGAAGGCCUGCGGGUUGUAAAGUACUUUCAGUGGGGAGGCGUUACCCGCAGAAGAAGCACCGGCUAACUCCGUGCCAGCAGCCGCGGUAAUAC